GCCAAAACUUGUAGUCCUCCUACCCAUCCAUUCCUGUAGAGUAAUAUACUAAAUUCUCUUUACUACAGUCAAUCAUCAUUUUGUAAAUAUUUAUUGAACAACUGCUAUAGAGCAAACACUACAUGAAACAGAAUAAAAUUGUCGUUACUUUCUAGUUGCUCAGAAUUUCAUGGUAACACCUCUAAGGAAAGCAAAUAAUUGUACCAAUAGAAAACUGUUAUAAUAGAGGCAUACAUACAGGAGUAGUCAAUUUUUGGUUGGAAAUCCAUGGAAGACUCAACAGCGGGAAGCUGCUGUGGGAUUACAAAGACAAACUAAAGAAGCUUCAGUAGACCUACUUGUUAUAUGGUUCCUGGCAACAAAACAGCUGAAGAGGUUCCUUGACCUAAAGGAUGAAACCAUGUAUACUCUGUCACAUCAUCAUGCAGUUACCUACUGAUUCAAAUCCUGAGCCAAACGAAGUCAUUUAUAAACAGGACAUUUGCUUAUGAGAUCUCCUGGGGUCAGAAGUCAGCCCAAAAGAGCAUUCAGCAUGGCACACUGAGCGUGUAACCCAAUCCCAUCAGAAGUUCUGUUUUAGGGUAUUUGAAGGCAAGAUUACAUAGUUGCACAAAAAGUGCGUCACACAGUAACUGGCACAAAGAUACUGGCCUGGAAAUCAUGUGGCAAAGUCUGCAGCCUGCUAGUAGCGUCUUCUUAUAGUAUGAUUGGGUCACACCGAAAGUACAGUGAUGGUCAAGAAGAUAAAGUCAAACGAGAUUGAACUUUCCGCUUUAGUUCCAUCAGCACCGACUUAACUGCCAAUUCAGUUUGUCAAACUGUUUUUUUAAUAAUGGAAUAAAAACUGACAGC
rnacentral:lncRNA from 1 species